GGUCAAGUUGUGUAGGGCACAUGGUGGAUGUCUGGGCAUCAGGGGCCGAUGAAGGACGUGGGAGGC
rnacentral:rRNA from 1 species